rnacentral:lncRNA from 1 species
UCCAAUCAGGGUGAUUGGUACAUUCAUCCCUCAAACAUUUAUCAUUUCUUUGUGUUGGGAACCAAGUCCUCUCUACUGGCUAUUUUGAAAUAUAUAUUAACUGUUGUCAAUUGAUGUUAUCUGUCCUGCUAUGCCAGAGAACAUUUGAAGUGAUUCUUCCCGUUCAUCUUCACCCCUUACCUGUUGAACAUCCUCUCUCCCAUCAGCCUUCCCAGCCUCUGGUAACUACCAUUCUGUUUGCUGCUUGUAUGAGAUCAACUUUUUCUAGCUUCCAUGAGAAUAUGUGUUCAACUAUCUGUGCCUAGCUUAUUUCUCUCUUCUUUCUUUCCCUGCUCUCUUUUGUUUCUUGUGGUACUGGGGAUUGAACCCAGGGGUGCUUUACUACUGAGCUACUUCCCUUUUUUGAUUUUUUAAAAUUUUUUGAUUAUUUAUUUAUGUUUAGUUGUCAAUGGAUCUUUAUUUCUUUAUAUGUGGUUCUGAGAAUUGAACCCAGUGCCUCACAUAUUCUAGGCAAGUGCUCUACCACUGAGCCACAACUCCAGCCCCUGAUUUUUCACUUUUGAGACAAAGUCUCUCUAAUUUUCCCAGGCUGGCUUAGAACUUGCAAUCUUCUUGCCUCAGCCUUCUAAGUUACUGGGAUUACAGGUGUGCACCACCACACAAGGCUGUCACUGGUAUUUUGAUUGGGUUUGCAUUGAAUCUGCAGAUUGCUUUGGGCAAUAUAGACAUUUAAAAAAAUAUUUAUUCUUCUAAUCCACGAACAUGAGAUGUCUUUCUUGUGUGUGUGUGUGUGUGCAUGUGUGUGUGUCCUCUUCAAUUUCUUUCAUCAGUAUAGUUUUCAUUAUAGAAUUCUAUCACCUCUUUGGUUAAAUUUAUUCCUGGAUAUUUUUUCUUUUUUGUAGUAACUAUUGUAAAUGGGAUUGCUUUCUUGAUUUAUUUUUCAACUAGUUUGUUAUUGGUACAUAGAGAUGCUACUGGGUUUUGUUAAUUUAAUUUUGAAACAGAACCUCACUAUGUUGCCCAGGCUAUCCUUGAACUGGUGAUCCUCCUGCCUCAGCUGAUCAAGCAGUUGGGAUUGUAGGUGUGCACCGCCAUGCCUGGCAAAAUGCUACUGAUUUUUGUACGUUGAUCUAUCCUGCAAAUUCCUAAAUUCAUCUACUAGUUCUAACAGUCUUUUCUUUUUUUUUUUUUUAAAGA